rnacentral:lncRNA from 1 species
AAAGAGUCUGCUCUGCAUUAUCCUCAGCCCCACAGCAUUUGUAACGUCACCAGUGUCAGCACAAUCUCCAACAUUUUUCCUUGCUGUGGUCCAGGAAGAAUUAUCUCUGUAGUUUCUUGUGCUUGCUGCUAUCUCCUCUUUUUCUCCAUUUCAGACACAGUGAGGUUCUUAUCUGGAGCGUGGUUCUGCAGCUACAGAUUUGCCUGAAUUCAGUGAGAUCGCUCCAAACCCUUUGGAGGAGCUCGAGCACCGAGGGGAAGGGAUGAUUUUAGUCAGAAAAGUUAUUUUCCAUCAAAAAAAGAAAAACUGAGGGGAUGUUUUCACCUGCCAGCAUGGGAAGCACAUGGAUGCUGGGAUGCAAGCAGGAGGGCAGGACCCUACAGUGGCUUCCACAACUCUCAGGUACCUUUCACCAGACUGUCACUGGCAGCACAAGGUGCAGCAAUUUCACUUUUAAUUAAAACCUUUUGUUUUACCUGCACACAGAGCAGCUGCAGCAUCCCCAGCACGGACAAGGCCAGGGCUGAGGAGUGGAAAAGGAGACAUUGGGCACGGGAAGCCACACAAAGCUGGUUUGUGCCAGAAAGGGCUGAUGUGUGUCACUGUCCCUGUUUUACCCAUCCCAGCGAGCAGGGUGAGAAUUCCCUCGGAAGCACAAGGGUCCAAGGAGAGCGGGGACAAGGACCUGGAGUGGCAGCUGCAGCACAGGAGAAGGUUUGGUCCAGCCUGGCACUGCCAGCUCCCCUCUCCUCCCUUCCCAAAAACACUCACCUGCAAGGAGGGUGAGGCUGCUAAUUAGAUAAUAACACUCAGGUUGUUUUAAACAGAACAACUGCUGUGCAAGGAGGAUUUAUUUCUUCGUUUUGCUGAGAUAUUUUUCCCCUUUGUGAGCGCUCCCAGAAAUAUCGUUGCAGGAUGUGCCUCUCAUUUUCCCGAGGAUUUUCUGAAGACCCCAGGGAACAGAACUCUAUUAGCUGAAGCAUCUUUCUGUCACAAGAGCCAGGUAGGAGACACAAAGGACCUCUGGAACUUAAACUUCUUUGGUGUUCUGCUCAACGCAGCUGAGCAAGAAUUUCUGCUGGCACCGAAGUUCUCACAGCUAGGCUGUGCUAUUUAAAACGGGAUUUCAUCCUAAUGAGCCUAAAAUAAAACUGUGUGUGUGGAAGGAGAUCUCA